GGGAUAUUAACUGCAAUUAGUUUAUAGUAAUUACAAACUUUACAGGAGUAUAUACGCCGAGAAACAGUAGAAGUUAAAAGAAAAAACGUAGGGAGGAAAACAAGUUAAAGAUAAGACUUGAAGAGAACAAAGAAAAUACAUUGAGUUAUAAUGCGCUACAAAGAAGACAAACAGAAUACACACAGCAAACUAUAAGAUAACAUGACUUCACAGAGCCAGAGAUUCGGUAAAACCCCAAGAUAAGAAAAAGUAUCAAAAAAUUAAAAAAGAUCCAACGGUCUAUCCAUCCAACAACCCCAAAAAC